rnacentral:ncRNA from 1 species
GCGUCCGCCUGAAAUCUUCGGGCCUUUCCGCCGCAAGGCGGAUAGAAAAGCGGGUGAAAUCGGGGAACAUCCAAUGACAAACAAUCGGACAAUCCCGAGCCAAGCUCGCCGAAUAGGCGAGAAGGUGUAGAGACUAUUCCUUUGGGAAGUACCCUCUUUUUAACAAAAGAUGGGGAAGCGCCCGCCCCCUACUCCAUCAAAGAUGGACGGGUGAUGAUAUAGUCCAAAUUAUGGAAGAG